AGCCCUGUUAUGAUAUCAUCCUGGGGCAACCUGUUCCUUAUGAGUUCCUCAUGAGUGCCAUGGCCCAAGCCAGUGUGUUCCAGCUUCUAGCCAGAGUAUCGAGCAUGACGUUUGUCUUUGAUUCAUGUUCCCUAUCAAGCACUGGUUGUCAGUGAGAUUAUAACUUCUUGGAUGUCAUGAUUCUGUUAAUUUUCUUUUAUUUUUGUCAGACACUGGAAGGACAUUGACCAGGGACACCAGCUAUGAUCAACGACUCUUUGUGAUUGACUGCCUAUAGAAAAUUACGCCACAGUCAUUCAGAGAGAGGAGCUAUUGUGGCUCCCACAGGCAAAUACCAAGAAGUUUGCAAAUGUUUGGUUAGGACCGAGUUUGAGCUUUGAAAUUUGCACUCCACUGGAAAGAAGAUCAAGCAAAACCUUGUUAACAGACUCAACCUUUAUUAUUUUGUAAAUGACAACCUCAGUUUUCAUUUGCAGAAAGUCCCUGGCUCUUCUCUCUGGCAGUCUUGAAAUUUUAAAGCACAGAAUCCAAGAUUUCAGAAACAGAAGACAACUUUCCCUUCUUCUGGAGGAGGAAAGCACAAGAAAAUGAGAAUAAUCUAACUUAUCUCUGAUGAGCUUCUAAUAAGCACCAAGGAAGUCUGAAGAAAAAUUCUGAAACAUGAUGGUGUUGUGGUUUAACUCAACAGUUAAACAAAGGACUUCACUGUUGAGCCAGGACCAACAGUUUAUGCUGCACAUUUGCAGACAGAAAAAAUGAGGAGAAUUCUCUGGCAGCGGCAAGUUAAUCACCAACAGGCAAGAUGAUUAUUCAGUAAAAUCCUGCACUCAGACACAACCUAUAGGAAAACAGGUAGAUACACUUUUUUGAUGAAGAAUAAUGAGAAACAGCACCAACUAAGUCUUCAGGCUUCUCCUUCUCCUUAACCUGCCCAGUACCACAGAAGAUUGAUUAUCUCCCGACUAGCCAUCAGGCUUCCAGUUUCCUUCAACUGUCAUUUCACACUGCUCUUACCCAGCAAACAGUAAGUACAAUCCAGGUCUGUGCUCAGAAAUAGAGUGGGGCUGAACUGUUUUUUGCUUCUUUAAAUCAUCAAUUUUCAUCACAGAGCAACAGAACUUCAGCAGCAGUCAUGACUGAGAAUUAGAAGUUCCAACAUACUCUUCUUUUUUUUUCCACCCUCAGAAAAGAACUAACUAUUCUUUAACUAUUAACCCAUCAGUCACAGACAAAAACCACUAAAUAUUCUGCACCUCCAUUUGUUCGUAACUUGGGCUUUAUGUCAUUUAGGUUAUUCAUUCUCCCUACCAACACUAUAACUUCACUAAUGAAUGAAUCAAGUAAAUGAUUACAAAAAUAAUUAAAAUACCUUAUUUUGUAACUGGG